rnacentral:rRNA from 1 species
UACGGAGGGUGCAAGCGUUGUCCGGAAUCACUGGGCGUAAAGGGCGCGUAGGCGGCUCAUGAAGGCUGUGGUGAAAGUCCGGGGCUCAACCUCGGAUCGGCCGUGGCGACUCGUGGGCUGGAGCACUGUAGAGGGGGAUGGAAUUCCGCGUGUAGCAGUGAAAUGCGUAGAUAUGCGGAGGAACACCGAUGGCGAAGGCAAUCCCCUGGACCUGUACUGACGCUCAUGCACGAAAGCGUGGGGAGCAAACAGG